GACGAACGCUGGCGGCGUGCCUAAUACAUGCAAGUAGAACGCACAGUUUAUACCGUAGCUUGCUACACCAUAGACUGUGAGUUGCGAACGGGUGAGUAACGCGUAGGUAACCUGCCUGGUAGCGGGGGAUAACUAUUGGAAACGAUAGCUAAUACCGCAUAAUAUUAAUUAUUGCAUGAUAAUUAAUUGAAAGGUGCAAUUGCACCACUACCAGAUGGACCUGCGUUGUAUUAGCUAGUAGGUGAGGUAACGGCUCACCUAGGCGACGAUACAUAGCCGACCUGAGAGGGUGAUCGGCCACACUGGGACUGAGACACGGCCCAGACUCCUACGGGAGGCAGCAGGAGGGAGUCUUCGGCAAUGGACGAAAGUCUGACCGAGCAACGCCGCGGGAGUGAAGAAGGUUUUCGGAUCGUAAAGCUCUGUUGUAAGAGAAGAACGGGUGUGAGAGUGGAAAGUUCACACUGUGACGGUAUCUUACCAGAAAGGGACGGCUAACUACGUG
rnacentral:rRNA from 1 species